CUCUCUUUGUCUCAGGAGUCGCUUAAAGUGGACAUGAAACACUUCAAGUAUUUAGUAUAAUUGUCGUUCACUGGACAAAUAAGCUGAAGUCCGAGGCUUUUUUCCUCCGUCUGACUGAGGGUACUAUGAAAGCAGAAGCUGUGAGCCGCAAGGAACGAGACAAAUGACGCUCACACCUAGCAGAGCAGCCAGAGGUGGGGAAACAUGCUUACAAGUUCAGGAGCUCUCGACCCAUACCCAUGGGCUCACAAGUCUCAGGCUUUGCAAGUCAGUCUUACUUUACAGCAAAAAAUAUGGAUGCACUCCCAGCAGAGAACAAGACGCAGCUCUACUCUGAACUAUUCUACACUUUGAGAUAUAACCCAGGUAUAAGGGAUACCUUAACCAGCAGCAGCUUGUAUGUAUGCAGCACGUCAUUGUUUUCUUUUUUUCACUUCUACCUUGUCCAUCACUAAACUGAAAAACAAUAGCUGAUCCAUAUCAGGGACUUACUGAGGAUAUUUUUGUUUUAUUCUCCCUCAUAACUCCCCCUGAUAUCUCUAAUACUAUGAACGGGGGAUUUUCUAUGAUGUUCCUGGCUCUCUUUUCAUUUUAAUCAUGACAAUGGGAUCAGAUAAUCCGGGCCCGAGAGCGGCCUUUGAUUGUCCUGAUUGAGACUCUUUUGUUAGACAGAUAUGUAAUAUGCAGUGGUAAGAGGAUUUGGUGCAGUAGAUUGUGUGAUUUAAUCAUGUUUGCGCAGGGAAAGCAGCACUUACAUGCACUCGGGGGGUUAAACCAGUGUAAGACAUAGAGUUUUAGACUCAGUCAUUGAGGGGGUCUUGCUGAAAGGGAGUUUAGGUCAGGGUAAUGGGGUAUUGUUUAAUAAAGGGGGCACUAUAGUCUGAGGUUUAUGAGGAUAUAAAGAGUAUUGGGGGAUUUACAGUUGGAGGUGAAAGAAGGCUAAGGGACAGAUCAUUUCUGAUUGAAGAUUUGCAUCAGAGAGCAACUACCUUAACCCACAAGCUGCAAAGACUUGUUUAUUGGCCCACAUUUCAAUUUCUGUAAAAUCCUUGUUACUCUAUUUAUAUAUUUUAUUUAUUGUGGUUUCUGGGAUUGGAUCAGUUGACAUGAUCCACAAUGACUUUUUUGAAGGAAAUAUUUGAAACCUCUGUGUUUUCACUUUUUUUUUUUUAAGAACAACUUUCACUAUUGUUCCUAUUUAUUCUGUGUUUAUACGAUAUAUCCAUAAAAAAGGUUGUACAAAGUUUAUGUCAUGAUUUGCGUGACUCUGUGUGAGUCUGACCUACUAGUGCUAUAGUGGAUUAUUUUGUUUAUAAAUUGUGUACUGUUGCUUUAAAUUACUUCAAAAAGAGAAAGUGAAAUACUUUGAUUAACACUAAGAAAUGAGAAAGGCCAGGAAUCACAUGGAAAACUGCAUGUUUUAUUGGGAAUAUUUCUCCUAUUUCUAAAAUGCUAAUGUUUAAAUAUUAAAUUGUGCUUUUGACAUUUUGACAGUUAACAUAUUUUAUGUUAAAAUGGCACCAUUUUUUAUUAAUAAUUUUGCUGAAUGUGAAUCACCUAAACAUAUUGAUAUGUUCUCUUUAUAUUUUAAAAUAAUAUUGAAAACAAAUACGUUUAAUUUUCUCCUCUGGAAUGCGCAUUUUCCUUUUUCAUUGUACUUUGAAGCAUUAGUGAAAGGUGCAGACUGGAUUUUAAGAGUGAAAGCUAAUGUCAGACAGUGGAAGUAAGUGGGGGAUCAGACACACAUACAUACAUAAACACACACACGUCUGUGCUGAGUGUGUGGGGAUCAGGGGGGAGAUACACACACCCCCUUCUUAUUAAUCCCCUCAGUAGUAUGCCCAGUCAUGAGGAGACAGAGUCUGCUAGUCUGUACCUCCUGCCACACACACAUACUGUACAUUUGUGCGCACAUACACAAACACACUUUUUUAGGGAUGUGUGAAGUGUGUCAGUGUUACGAGUCAAUGCCUUUAAAGCUCUGUUGACUUUGAGAAAUGCCUGACUCAGGAGUUUGUUGCUAAAAUCUGUUAGUAGGCUAAAUGUCAGUGUAUAGGUCCACAAGAUAUGCUACCCAUUAUUAUGCUUUCUAACAUGCUAAUUUGGGGUGUUCUGGAUGUGUGUGUGUGUGUGUAUAUAAGAAAGUGGGCAUGUUUUUGUAAAAUAAUAUUCUGAGAUUGUAGGUAAAGCAGCCUUUAAGAUUUGGCAACCAAAAUUAUUAGGCCAGAAAUGGCAGUUACACAGUUUUGGUGUUUGUGCAAAUAAGUGAAAAGGCUGAGUGAUUUCACCCACCCCUCCUUUCCUGGCAGCAUUGUGUUUUAGAACACUGUGUGACUAGCGUUGCACUGCUGAUAUAAAAUCAUGAUUGGAGUAGCACUGCUAAGAUGAAUAAAAUAAAUUGUAGUUUUGUAAAGACUUUUUCUUUGAAAAGUAAGACAAACAUACAUUUAGGCUAUAUAAUUUGUUCAUUGGUUAAUAAAGGGGGGAAAUGCAUGAAAACCUGUGAAAAAACAUCUUUAGUAUUCAGUGUUUGGCCUUUGGCUAUUUUUUUUUUUUUUUGGUUUGUUUUUCGUUCCAGUUUCAAAAAAUGUAAUUCCCUUGCAUCUCUAGAAGGAAGUUAAGGUCUAGGAUUAGAACAUUUUUCUGUAUGUAAAAUACAUGUGGCAUAUAUAACCAACAUAUAGUUUAUACAGGACCAGUACAGACUGCUUCUUCUCUAAUAUACAGAUAUCACAUAAAGCAAGUGCACAUGUGAACUCCCUUAACCUCGCUCAGUCAUUAUUUACAUUAGAAGUAGAGAGCUUUCUGUGGUAUUGCUUUAAUGCAGCGCUUUAAUCCACCACAGAGCUACAGGCUGACACUCUCUGAGCAAGGCCAAUUUCUCCCCCACUAAACACACUAAGAUCUUGUUGAACAGCAGAGAGUGAAGCGCUGAAAAAGAGCCGUUGCAUUGCUUGUCAUUCUGUUCCUCAGUGAAAAUAAUGGAAUGCCUGAAAUCCCUGUGCUAACUAUGUACUUUCUUUAAUACUCAUGAUGUUUUUUUUGUUGUUGUUGUUUUUUUUUUUUUUUAAUAAAUUAACAUUCAUUAUUAAUAAUGUAUAAGUAGCUGGAUUCUCUCUCAUAUCAUUUUUAUAAGGUAGAUAACACAUUAACAAUUACAUAAAAUAUUUCUUAUCUAUUGAAUUACAAUAUGAUAGGUGAGAAAGCUAACUUAUCGCUGGCAUGUAGAAUAAUAGAACCCACCAUCAGACCAACCAAUGGCAACUUAGUUUGACUUUUUCUUUGGCAACUUUAUAAGUGACUGUGUUUUGAGUAAAACAAUGUAUUUAUGU